rnacentral:rRNA from 1 species
AGGACGAACGCUGGCGGCGUGCUUAACACAUGCAAGUCGAGCGGAAAGGCCCUUCGGGGUACUCGAGCGGCGAACGGGUGAGUAACACGUGAGCAACCUGCCCUUAGCUCCGGGAUAGCUCCGGGAAACCGGAAUUAAUACCGGAUAUGACCUAGGCCGACAUCGGCUGUGGUGGAAAGUUUUUCGGCUGGGGAUGGACUCGCGGCCUAUCAGCUUGUUGGUGGGGUAAUGGCCUACCAAGGCGACGACGGGUAGCCGGCCUGAGAGGGCGACCGGCCACACUGGGACUGAGACACGGCCCAGACUCCUACGGGAGGCAGCAGUGGGAAUCUUGCGCAAUGGGCGAAAGCCUGACGCAGCGACGCCGCGUGGGGGAUGGAAGGCCUUCGGGUUGUAAACCCCGUUUCAGCAGGGACGAAGCGAAGUGACGGUACCUGCAGAAGAAGCGCCGGCUAACUACGCGCCAGCAGCCGC